AACGAACGCUGGCGGCAUGCCUAACACAUGCAAGUCGAACGAGACCUUCGGGUCUAGUGGCGCACGGGUGCGUAACGCGUGGGAACCUGCCCUUGGGUUCGGAAUAACUCCCCGAAAGGGGUGCUAAUACCGGAUAAUGUCUUCGGACCAAAGAUUUAUCGCCUUUGGAUGGGCCCGCGUUGGAUUAGCUAGUUGGUAGGGUAAAAGCCUACCAAGGCGACGAUCCAUAGCUGGUCUGAGAGGAUGAUCAGCCACACUGGGACUGAGACCCGGCCCAGACUCCUACGGGAGGCAGCAGUGGGGAAUAUUGGACAAUGGGCGAAAGCCUGAUCCAGCCGUGCCGCGUGAGUGAUGAAGGCCUUAGGGUUGUACGGCUCUUUUACCCGGGAUGAUAAUGACAGUAACGGGAGAAUAAGCUCCGGCUAACUCCGUG
rnacentral:rRNA from 1 species